rnacentral:rRNA from 1 species
AACGAACGCUAGCGGCGCGCUUUAAGCAUGCAAGUCGAGCGGUAAGGUCCUUCGGGACCCCAGAGCGGCGGACGGGUGAGUAACACGUGGAUAAUCUGCCUCUCAGUCCGGGAUAGCACAUGGAAACAUGUGAUAAUACCGGAUACGAUGUGCCUGUCACAUGGCGGGUGCAGGAAGGGUCCUGCGGGAUCGCUGGGAGAUGAGUCCGCGGCCCAUUAGCUUGUUGGCGGGGUAAAGGCCCACCAAGGCGACGAUGGGGUAGCCGGCCUGAGAGGGUGGACGGGCCACAUUGGGACUGAGACACGGGCCCAGACUCCUACGGGAGCAGCAGCUAAGAAUCUUCCACAAUGGACGAAAGUCUGAUGGAGCGACGCCGCGUGAACGAUGAAGGCCGUAAGGUUGUAAAGUUCUUUUUGGAAGG